CCUGAAGAGGGGGAAGUGAGGUGGGGAUGUUUAGCUCGUGCGCCGGGGCACCUGGAGUCGGCGGUGCGUCGGUUACCGGUGUCGGCGGCGGCGGCGGCGGCGGCGUGCAAAGUGGGGCCGGUAGGACGGGGCAGGGGCGUCCUCCCAGGGGCGCGGCACGCGGAGUCGCUCGUCGCGGAGGCCUGCGCCGUUGGCGGCCGACGCGACACUCAAGCAACGGUCGCAGCCCUUGCCGCGCGAGAGGCCGCUCCUGCUGGGAGCUGACUAUCUGGCGGUUUUUCGAGAACUACGUCGUUACUGACUGUAUUUGUUAAGAAAACCUUUUCCUUCGCAAUGUUCUAAUCCGUCACGACCACCACGAAAACAACUCUGAAAAGGCUCACCAACGAAUUGUGAUCUAAAACGAAACCCGCCACCGGAAGGUUUUCCUUCUCAUCAUCUCCACAUACCAGGACUUUCGUCACCUUUCUGGUGAGAUCGAGACGUACGGUAACGACUCUAUGUCUUCGAUCCUCCUUUACGGUACGAACAACUACGUCUCGUACGAAAACUAGGUCGAAUAAGUUUUCGCGAACCCCAUCUAUAACUUUUAGACUAACAGACGGUCGGACUGUUACCUCUCUACCGUGAUCUUUAACGCCUGGCGUACACGUCUAGACCUCGUUAUCUAGAGUAGACAUAACUAAGUCAUAGUCGAGAGUGAGGUGCACGCCUUUAACUUCCACUCUAUCCCUACGUCGUCUACCCAAAUGUUCGAGCAGACUACUCAGUUCGUAACUCUUUCUACAGUCCGUUACGGAGUUUCCGACCAACAUGAGAUUACAAGAACUUAGUUUAUUCUAUGUUCUAACCUCAUAAGAUACCCUUGGGACUUCAGUGAUCACCUCCCUAUCGAAACUUCAAGAAGCGCAGUCAAGCGGAUCUCUAUGCUGUGUAACCCUUCUAUUUUAGACGGUUCCCUCUACUUCUAUAACCACAGUUCCAGGCACAGUCUCACGUCUUCUCAUUUCAGAGGUCCGGGAUGUUCGUUCGACUUAAGCUCUAGUACAAACCCCUCCCGCAAUCAUUUAACCCAACGUAAGAACUAACACGACUCGACUACCUUCAACAACGUUUCUUCCCAAGUACCAUAUCAAUGUUUCUAUAUUCUGACCCAGUUCCAUCUCUUUUCCGUGACGUCAUAGAGGCUCUCUUAGGUUGGCAGACGCUACUCUAUCUUUUCCAUCAGGCUCGGUACUAUGGUCUUCCUUGGUCCGUAUACCGGUACGAUCGAAAGCCCGUCAGCAGCAGCGUUGGGCUCCUCCUCCUUCAUAUACUACUGACUGCUGCUUGUAGUUCGGGGCUUCUGCUUGGCGAUUGGGCAGACAGAUCGUCGCGUUAAGGUCCUUAAAACUGGGGUAUCGCAGAUCGUAGUCUUAACAUCGCCGAUUAUCACCGGGAAGAAGCGGCUUGGAUUCGCUUGCAAAGUCACCAUGUGGGACACAAGAAUCCUAAAACUAUACAACCAACAAACGACAUUGUUGUCGUUGUUACAUGGUGGUAGGUGGUCAUGAUUUUUCCCGAACUGGUCAAUUAGUACCCUUUUCUGUUAGAUAGAGUAUACUUUUAAGUUAGUUUUGUAAUUCGAACUUCGUGAUCUUUAACUUUAUUAACGAGUGC
rnacentral:rRNA from 1 species